CUCAUUGUGCACUGGAGAAGCCUGGCACUCAGGUGUGUCUACCAUGUGAACGCUGCUCAUCCACAUUGCAGCCGCUGCCUCCUCCUCCGCCUCCUCCGCCUCCUCCUCGCCCCGGAACCUGUGCUCCUGCCUGUCAGUCCACCUGGCUCAGUGGUUCUUAACAGUUCAACAGUUCUCUAUCGAAAUUGUGAAAUGUUUAGGACCACUUGACCAGGCGGGCGCUCUCUUCUCGCUGUGGACACAAUGGAGGCCCCAGCAUCAGGAGUAACAGCCGAAGAACUUCUCCACUUCUGCGAGAGGGAAGACUUGUUAAGACGUGUUAACCUAUAACCUGCCAGUUUCUUGGAAAUGCACACGAAGCAGAAUGGUAAAUUUUAACCGGUUUCACAUGGUCACAGUAGGGCUGUAUUAUGGCUGCAAAACCCCAUACAAAUCCCUUACUGAAACUGGACUAGGGUUGUGUGGUGGAACUAUAUCAUUGGGUUCAGCAGACCCUUUGGGGGGGGGGGGGGGGGGUUGCAACCUUAAUACUGGUGCUAAAAGGUGGCUAUAUUAUAUGACACAAACCUAAUGAGGACUGGACCUGUGGAACUGAGCUUCCCAGGUACAUGGAAGGGUUGGUAUGACAUUGGG